AAAAGGAGCAUCCACAAAUGAAACAAAGACAAACAUAUCCAUCCAUGUCUCGAAAAUUUGAGAAAAAACAUAGCAACAAGAACAAAAAUAUUUUCAAGACUCUUGCUCGAAAAUAUCAAUUUCAGAUGAAGUUGUUUUGAAGUAUUAUGCUAAGUGUUCAUAACAUUUCAAUUGUUCAAUGAUGCCUGCAAAAAAAAAAAAAAAAAAAAAAAAAAAAAGGAACCUUCAACUGCAGCUAAAAUCUCCACCGUUUUGGUUCUUGCCGAAAAGAAAAAAGUCAAACAACUAAACAUUGGAAUUAGUAAUGCUGGGGAAUUUAGAGGCAAAGGAAGAAACUCCUAAAGAGUCAAAGUUUCAAUGCAACCAGAGGUCAAGCAGCUCAACAAUGGUGACAAUAUUAGAUGAUUCAGAACCCAUCAAAAAUUUUAUACCCAAAAGUAUGCAAGGAAGGAACUUGAUGUAUUUAACUUUAGUGAUUUUGAAGUUGUUGAAAAAAAUUUAUAGUUUUAUUUAGUGGUACAUUUCUCAAUCCCGUGUUCUAGAUACAACCUAGAAGCACAUACGAUUCUUGAUUGUGUGUUAUUCUAAUUUUGUAUUUAUCCGAGGGUGUUAUGAAGAGGUUAAUUAGAGAAACCAAAAAAGGUUUCAACUUUCAAA